rnacentral:rRNA from 1 species
GACGAAGGUGGCAAGCGUUGUUCGGAAUCACUGGGCUUAAAGCGCACGUAGGCGGCCCUUCAAGUACCUUGUGAAAUCCCCCGGCUCAACCGGGGAAUUGCUUGGUAGACUGCAGGGCUUGAGGCAGGUAGGGGCGAGUGGAACUCUUGGUGGAGCGGUGGAAUGCGUAGAGAUUCGGAAGAACACCGAAGGCGAAGGCAGUGUCCUGGCUCGUUUCUGACGCUCAAGCACGAAAGCUAGGGGAGCGAAC